UAAUACGAAGGGGGCUAGCGUUGCUCGGAAUUACUGGGCGUAAAGGGCGCGUAGGCGGGUCGUUUAGUUAGAGGUGAAAGCCCAGGGCUCAACCCUGGAACUGCCUUUAAUACUGGCGACCUAGAGUAUGACAGAGGUGUGUGGAACUCCGAGUGUAGAGGUGAAAUUCGUAGAUAUUCGGAAGAACACCAGUGGCGAAGGCGACACACUGGGUCAUUACUGACGCUGAGGCGCGAAAGCGUGGGGAGCAAACAGGAUUAGAUACCCUGGUAGUCCACGCUGUAAACGAUGAGUGCUAGUUGUCGGGCGGCAUGCCGUUCGGUGACGCAGCUAACGCAUUAAGCACUCCGCCUGGGGAGUACGGUCGCAAGAUUA
rnacentral:rRNA from 1 species